rnacentral:rRNA from 1 species
CAGUAGCCGCGGUAAUACGUAGGGUGCGAGCGUUAAUCGGAAUUACUGGGCGUAAAGCGUGCGCAGGCGGUUGUGUAAGACAGGUGUGAAAUCCCCGGGCUUAACCUGGGAACUGCGCUUGUGACUGCACAGCUAGAGUAUGGCAGAGGGGGGUGGAAUUCCACGUGUAGCAGUGAAACGCGUAGAGAUGUGGAGGAACACCGAUGGCGAAGGCAGCCCCCUGGGCCAAUACUGACGCUCAUGCACGAAAGCGUGGGGAGCAAACAGGAUUAGAUACCCCAGUAGUCCCUGUCUCUUAUAC